AACGCUGGCGGCGUGCCUAACACAUGCAAGUCGAGCGAUCUCUUCGGAGAGAGCGGCGGACGGGUGAGUAACGCGUGGGUAACCUGCCCUGUACACACGGAUAACAUACCGAAAGGUAUACUAAUACGGGAUAACAUACGAAAGUCGCAUGGCUUUUGUAUCAAAGCUCCGGCGGUACAGGAUGGACCCGCGUCUGAUUAGCUAGUUGGUAAGGUAAUGGCUUACCAAGGCAACGAUCAGUAGCCGACCUGAGAGGGUGAUCGGCCACACUGGAACUGAGACACGGUCCAGACUCCUACGGGAGGCAGCAGUGGGGAAUAUUGCACAAUGGGCGAAAGCCUGAUGCAGCAACGCCGCGUGAGCGAUGAAGGCCUUCGGGUCGUAAAGCUCUGUCCUCAAGGAAGAUAAUGACGGUACUUGAGGAGGAAGCCCCGGCUAACUACGUGCCAGCAGCCGCGGUAAUACGUAGGGGGCUAGCGUUAUCCGGAAUUACUGGGCGUAAAGGGUGCGUAAGGUGGUUUUUUUAAAGUCAAAAAUUAAAAGGCUACCGCUCAACCGGUAAUUAAGCUUUUUGAAACUAAAAAAACUUGAGUGCAGGAAAAGAA
rnacentral:rRNA from 1 species